GCGCCGCCACAUCGUCGUCCUUGCCACCGUAUGUUGCAGGCUUCUCGUCGGCGGCAGCGGCCGAGGAGGGCGGCGACCCGCUGCUGCUCACGCUUGGGCAGGGCCAGGCUGCGCCGUCCCCAAUGGCGGCCGGGCUGCUGCUGUCCCCGGGCUUCAUCUUCUCCUCCAACACCAUGCCCGCUCACCACGUUCUGGUUCCGAAGCUUUGAGUUUGCCGUAUAGCGUGUCUUCAGACUACUAGGAUUGAUAUGGGCAAAAUUUGCCACAAGACACCGUUAAAAAGGACACUACAUGAAUUAUUCUAUCCGAUUUAAUUCAAGAGCCACGGGAAAUGACUAGUUUGCCCCUACUACCUUAUCUUCUCCCGCAUGCCAUUUUCUUUCUCCAGAAACUAUCGCAUCGCAGAGAAGUUUGCGAACGGAGCUAGCGGCGCCGAUUCCUCCAGCGCGCAGCCCCUCCCCGAUGACGGCCGCGCGUGGUAGGGGCCCUUUGCGACAAGCCUUCCCCGGUGUGCAUCUCACCGCCACAUCGCCGAGCUCGAGCAGCAGCAGCUAGCCGCCGCCGCGGCGCCCCGACCGCAAGGCCGCACGCGUGAGCUAGCGUGCCGCCGCGAGGACGAGUGGCUCCGCUGGAGCGCGAGGCCGGGGCAGCCAAGAAGCGGCAGGCGCGCACAGCCGACGAGGAUGGCCACCCCGAGGCCCCGUGCGGAGCGCCGCUGAAGCCUGAAGGUCUCCAGACAAUUCACUAAACCAGGUACACGCCGAAACCCAAGGUUCACAGUCGGCUCCCUAGAUCUCCAUUUACUAAAGAUCCCAGCCACCAUUUCACAAUGACUAAUCAAGAGCUUUCAUAGUGAUUUGAGCACUGAAAAUGGCCUGCGGGAGAAGACAAGGCAGCAGGGCAAAUUAGUCAUAUCCCGUGGCUCUUCUAUUAAAUCGGAUAGAAUAAUAGAUGUAGUGUCCUGUGGCAAAUGUACAUGAUUUAUCAGUGUCUCUCAGCCGUAGCCGUGACAAGUUUUUUUAAUGGUUCACAGCAAAGAUCACCUUUUAACGAUGUCCUGUGGCAAAUGUUGCCAUUGAUAUGUGAUCUGGAGCUAACUGAAAUGCUCUGCAUAGAGUGUAAAUCAUUGUAACUAGAAAGGCUGGCGCGGCUUUGCCGUGCCGGUCGUGGAGGUGGCCAGUUGUCUUGGCCGAUACGUUUGUAAAUUUAAUGCACCAAUCUGAGACUAUAUGAGCUCUUGAUUUUGAUUUUGA